rnacentral:rRNA from 1 species
GGUUAAGCGACUAAGCGUACACGGUGGAUGCCCUGGCAGUCAGAGGCGAUGAAGGACGUGCUAAUCUGCGAUAAGCGUCGGUAAGGUGAUAUGAACCGUUAUAACCGGCGAUUUCCGAAUGGGGAAACCCAGUGUGAUUCGUCACACUAUCAUUAACUGAAUCCAUAGGUUAAUGAGGCGAACCGGGGGAACUGAAACAUCUAAGUACCCCGAGGAAAAGAAAUCAACCGAGAUUCCCCCAGUAGCGGCGAGCGAACGGGGAGCAGCCCAGAGCCUGAAUCAGUGUGUGUGUUAGUGGAAGCGUCUGGAAAGGCGUGCGAUACAGGGUGACAGCCCCGUACACAAAAAUGCACAU